GCAGAUCGUAUCGUCCUGGUUGC
rnacentral:siRNA from 1 species